rnacentral:rRNA from 1 species
AUUGAACGCUGGCGGCAUGCUUUACACAUGCAAGUCGAACGGCAGCGCGGUCUUCGGCCUGGCGGCGAGUGGCGAACGGGUGAGUAAUACAUCGGAACGUGCCCAGCAGUGGGGGAUAGCUCGGCGAAAGCCGGAUUAAUACCGCAUACGACCUGAGGGUGAAAGCGGGGGAUCUUCGGACCUCGCGCUCUUGGAGCGGCCGAUGGCAGAUUAGCUAGUUGGUGGGGUAAAGGCCUACCAAGGCGACGAUCUGUAGCUGGUCUGAGAGGACGACCAGCCACACUGGGACUGAGACACGGCCCAGACUCCUACGGGAGGCAGCAGUGGGGAAUUUUGGACAAUGGGCGAAAGCCUGAUCCAGCAAUGCCGCGUGUGUGAUGAAGGCCUUCGGGUUGUAAAGCACUUUUGGCGGGAACGAAAAGGACUGGGCCAAUACCACGGUUCGAUGACGGUACCCGCAGAAUAAGCACCGGCUAACUACGUG